CGUCUCCUCUAGCACGGGCCAGCUUCACUUUGUCACUAGGGACAAUCUUGGGCUUCUGAGCCUUCUGUCUGUACCUCCUAAAUGCUGGGAUUACAGGCUUAUGUCUAAGUGAUGCUGGGGAUUAACCCAGGGUUCCACAUAUCCUAGGCAGACAAUCUACCAGAUGAGCUAAUAGUUUCAUGAAGGUGAAGAAAUUUGGCCAAGGUCACCCAGGAAGUGCACAAUGGAAGUACAAUUUAAGUCCAUGUUUAUAUGACUUGGAAACUUAUGAAUCAUUAUAUAAACCUGCUAAGGGUUGGCAUCCCUCCCACCGGGGGCUCUCUGUCCUCCAGACUCACUGAAUUCUGCCUCCAGGAAGCCCCUUCCACCAGUCAACACUCCUUCGCAUCUGACAUCACUCAACACUUCAGAUCAGCUCAGAAUGAGCUUCCUGGACCAGCCUGACAUCUAACUCUGCAGAAGCACAGGACUCUUGGAUAGCUCACUGCUGCAACCCUCAGGGGUUUCAAAGAACUGAAUCCCUGAAUUUAGUUGUGCUUUGCUGAGUCCCCACUCUGCAAACAGCCCAGGUACCCUUUCUGCCUGGGGAGGACAAUACAAAACAGUUACUUUGAUUUUUUUUUUCCCCUGAGGCUUUCUGUGAGUAAAAGUUCUUGCCAAGCCUGACAACCUGAGUUUGACCCCCAGGACCAAGAUGGUGGAAGAAGAGUACUCAGGAAAGUUGUCCUACAACCCAGGACCCAGAAUGUGU